UGUGACCUACGGGGGGCAGCAGUGGGGAAUAUUGCACAAUGGGGGGAACCCUGAUGCAGCAAUGCCGCGUGGGUGAAGAAGCACUCCGGUGCGUAAAGCCCUGUCAGCAGGGAAGAAAAUGACAGUACCUGACCAAGAAGCCCCGGCUAACUACGCGCCAGCAGCCGCGGUAAUACGUAGGGGGCAAGCGUUAUCCGGAUUUACUGGGUGUAAAGGGAGCGCAGGCGGCGUGGCAAGUCAGAUGUGAAGGCCCGGGGCCCAACCCCGGGAGUGCAUUUGAAACUGCCAUGCUGGAGUGCCGGAGG
rnacentral:rRNA from 1 species